rnacentral:rRNA from 1 species
UACGGGGGGAGCAAGCGUUGUUCGGAAUUACUGGGCGUAAAGGGCGCGUAGGCGGUCGUGACAAGUCACUUGUGAAAUCUCCGGGCUUAACUCGGAACGGUCAAGUGAUACUGUCGGACUAGAGUACAGAAGGGGCAACUGGAAUUCUCGGUGUAGCGGUGAAAUGCGUAGAUAUCGAGAGGAACACCUGCGGCGAAGGCGGGUUGCUGGGCUGAUACUGACGCUGAGGCGCGAAAGCCAGGGGAGCGAACGGG